ACCAGACUCCUACGGGAGGCAGCAGUGGGGGAUAUUGCACAAUGGGGGAACCCUGAUGCAGCGACGCCGCGUGGGUGAAGAAGCGCCUCGGCGCGUAAAGCCCUGUCAGCAGGGAAGAAAAUGACGGUACCUGAAGAAGAAGCCCCGGCUAACUACGUGCCAGCAGCCGCGGUAAUACGUAGGGGGCAAGCGUUAUCCGGAUUUACUGGGUGUAAAGGGGGCGCAGACGGCGAUGCAAGCCAGAAGUGAAAGCCCGGGGCCCAACCCCGGGACUGCUCUUGGAACUGCGUGGCUGGAGUGCAGGAGAGGCAAGUGGAAUUCCUAGUGUAGCGGUGAAAUGCGUAGAUAUUAGGAGGAACACCAGUGGCGAAGGCGGCUUGCUGGACUGUAAAUGACGCUGAGGCUCGAAAGCGUGGGGAGCAAACAGGAUUAGAUACCCUUGUAG
rnacentral:rRNA from 1 species